rnacentral:rRNA from 1 species
GACGAACGCUGGCGGCGUGCCUAAUACAUGCAAGUUGAGCGCUGAAGGUUGGUACUUGUACCAACUGGAUGAGCAGCGAACGGGUGAGUAACGCGUGGGGAAUCUGCCUUUGAGCGGGGGACAACAUUUGGAAACGAAUGCUAAUACCGCAUAAAAACUUUAAACACAAGUUUUAAGUUUGAAAGAUGCAAUUGCAUCACUCAAAGAUGAUCCCGCGUUGUAUUAGCUAGUUGGUGAGGUAAAGGCUCACCAAGGCGAUGAUACAUAGCCGACCUGAGAGGGUGAUCGGCCACAUUGGGACUGAGAACCGGCCCAAACCCCUACGGGAGGCAGCAGUAGGGAAUCUUCGGAAAUGGACGAAAGGCUGACCGAGCAACGCCGCGUGAGUGAAGAAGGUUUUCGGAUAGUAAAACUCGGUUGGUAGAGAAGAACGUUGGGGGGAGUGGAAAGCUCAUCAAGGGACGGUAACUACCCAGAAAGGGACGGAUAACUACGU